rnacentral:misc_RNA from 1 species
CCCCCCCCCGGGGGGGGG